rnacentral:lncRNA from 1 species
GAACCAUCAAUCUUUGGAACUCAGCCAUGUUAAUAACUUCCAAAAUUUCUUCCAACUCACUCAAAAACAUCACCUCCUUUUGGGUAUUUGUGAUUGGCCAGUAUUUCAACAAGCCCCUGAUUACAGUGCUAGCCAACUUGGGAUCCUUCUCUAUAAACUGCAUAACACAAUAUGAUAACUGCUGAAAAUAAAUACCCAACGAUUUCGGCUUGUGUAAAGGAAUCAAAGCCCUUGACAAAAAGAUCUUAUGCUCCUCUUUCAAUGGCAGAGCGAAUCCCGUAAUCACACUACCAAAUAUCUCCAACAGUUCAGCAAUCCCAUUAUGUUUCUCAGUCUCAAAUACAAAUCUAUAGAACAAAUUGCUUAUACUCUUCCUUAUAAAGGGCCUGUGGACCAUGAAUUUGCCAUAUAUCCUAUGCAAGAUAGCUUUCAAACAGUCUCUUUCCCUUGGAUCUUCAGAAUCAAACAAGUCAAGCAAUUUCAAUAUGAAGUGAUGGUUCAUAUACUUUUUUGCAACCUUAGCUUCUAGAGAAGAAGAUGUUACAAACUUAAGCAAUAGAUCAUACACAAUCUGCAAGUGAGGCCAAGCAGGGUCAAAAGUAGGCUCAUCAUCAUCAUUUUCACUGGUAUGGGAAUUGCUAGACCGAUAAUUAGGAGGGAAAACCCGAAACAAAUUAACAGCACAAGUUUUACACAUUGCAAGAAUUGCAGGUUCUGAAAAUUUGGGUGGAUUAGAAGAUACAAAAUCCAAAAGCUCAAACAAUGUGGCUCUUUUAAGUUCCUUUUCUGCUACAUUCUUAGUUAGGUCCCUGAAAUCAAAGUCUACACAACAGAGGCUCAACUUACUGAUAAAAAGAUUCAUUUUUAGGUCCCUGAAAUCGAAGUCUACACAACAGAGGCUCAACUUACUGAUAAAAAGAUUCAUUUUUUCAGAGCUGGGCACAUCUUUGAAGGAAAUUAAAGGCUCAAUCCCUGCAAUCACACUUGCUGG